rnacentral:rRNA from 1 species
CGUAGGGUGCGAGCGUUAAUCGGAAUUACUGGGUGUAAAGCGUGCGCAGGCGGUAAUGUAAGACAGAUGUGAAAUCCCCGGGCUCAACCUGGGACCUGCAUUUGUGACUGCAUUGCUGGAGUGCGGCAGAGGGGGAUGGAAUUCCGCGUGUAGCAGUGAAAUGCGUAGAUAUGGGGAGGAACACCGAUGGCGAAGGCAAUCCCCUGGGCCUGCACUGACGCUCAUGCACGAAAGCGUGGGGAGCAAACAGGACUAGAUACCCUGGUAGUCCACGCCCUAAACGAUGUCAACUGGUUGUUGGGCCUUCACUGGCUCAGUAACGAAGCUAACGCGUGAAGUUGACCGCCUGGGGAGUACGGCCGCAAGGUUG